rnacentral:rRNA from 1 species
CAGUAGCCGCGGGAAUACGUAGGUGGCAAGCGAUGUCCGGAGUUAUUGGGCGUAAAGGGCUCGCAGGCGGUUUCUUAAGUCUGCUGUGAAAUCCCCGGGCUCAACCUGGGAAUGGCAGUGGAUACUGGCAAGCUAGAGUGUGUCAGAGGAUGGUGGAAUUCCCGGUGUAGCGGUGAAAUGCGUAGAGAUCGGGAGGAACAUCAGUGGCGAAGGCGGCCAUCUGGGACAACACUGACGCUGAGGCACGAAAGCGUGGGGAGCAAACAGGAUUAGAGACCCGGGUAGUCCCUGUCUCUUAUAU